rnacentral:miRNA from 1 species
UGGAAGAAGAUGAUAGAAUUA